GCAGGUGCGGUCAAAAUUGUAAAUUAUAACCUAGCUUUUUUCAAUUUUAUUUAGAUUUUCCUGUUUAAUAUUCGUAUAAAAUGCCAAAACCUUUGAGCAGUAGUGCGAGGGAGAUAAUUUACAAGGUUAUUAAGUUUUGUCAGCGUAAAAAAGCAUAACAAAGAGAUUUGGUGAACAAAAACAAAGUUACAGAAAGAGUAUCCGCCAUGACCGGUGUUUCAAGAGUGACUUUGGCUCGUAUUAAAAAAGAAGCUAGCGUAAAUAACGGAGUAUGGCGCACGCCUGGAAAAGGUCGUGGUUCAAAAAAUGGACGCCCUUUGAAAAUCAAUUAAGCCCUUUGAAAUUGAAUUGAAUUUAUCAAAGUCAUCCAACUUUGAUAAAUUCAAUUCAAUUUCUAAUUGCAUUGACUCUGCUUUGUUUUGUUUAUGCAAGUCAAAGUUAAUAAAUGUAUGUACAUUA